CCACUGCACUCCAGCCUGGGCGACAGAGCGAGGCUCUAUCUCAAAAAAGAAAAAAGAGUGGUGACAGCCGACCAAAAGUGGCUCAAGAGACAUCCUUCUGCCUUAGGGUCCCGCUGGCCCCAGGAAAGCUCCUUUCGUGCCUCCUGAGGACUCUGGGACGGAGAGGUCUGGAGGCCACAGCCAGCUCGCCCCCGCCCCCGCCUACGUCCUGCUUUCUGGCCGCUGCCUCUGGUCUGCUGCAGUCAAAGGAGCAGGGCCAGCCCUGAGCUCCCACCCAGCGCCAGUGGGGGACAACGUGGUGUCAGAGGCUCCUCUAGAGGGAAGGCGAAGAAGCCGCUUGGGAUCCUUGGGGUGGGGUGGCUGGGCCUGCAGGGUGGAAGUUGGGGGGUCUCAGGAGCAGGGGCUGAACCCCAGGUUACUUACAGACCCCCUGGAGUGGAAGUUGGGGGGUCUCAGGAGCAGAGGUGGAACCCUGGGUUACGUACCGACCUCCUGGAGUGGAAGUUGGGGGGGGUCUCAGGAGCAGAGGUGGAACCCCGGGUUACGUACCGACCCCCUGGAGUGGAAGUUACUUACAGGGGCUGUGUGACUACUCCGGCCUCCUGGGACCCCCAUGGCAAUGCUCCAGGCAGCCACCGCCCUCUCGAGGUCGUCCCUUCCUGUGACUGGCACCUGGGAGCUGAGCUGGCUGCAGCAGGGCCACCGGCCGGGACACCCCACAGAGCAGUCACUGGCUGGCCCUGGAGCUCCCCAUCUGACUAGAUUGAUGGACUGAUGGAUAGGAGGCCCCGCCAGGCCCAAGCCCACAGGCCAGAUGGGCACCUCUCCGUGCAGCCCCCCCCAGUCAGCCUUGUGGGUAGGUGUAGGGAGGCGUGGUGGCGAGGCAGGGCACGGGAUGGGAGAAGGGUACCUGGGGCCUGGCACUCAAAGAUGAGUGACGAGGUGGGAGGUGGGGACAGCCAGAGGCCCUCACAGCCCUGAUGGGGCUGGAAGACGCCAAGGCCCAGAGAUGGGGUCCGGGGCUCCAGGUCAGAUCAAGGAAAAACCCAGCCCAGGCGGGCAUGCCCGGCUCCCUUCCGCGGCGCCACAGCGGCUUCGAGCCAGGCAGAGCAAAAUCCCCGAGGAAAGGCGUCCCUCCCCAGCUCUCACCUCCCCAGACCCGGCAGGGUUGCCGGGACGACGGCUCAGGCCUUCCGGAGGUUGCCACAGAGCCAGGAGCCCAGGGCUGCCCCAGCCCACGCCCGGCUGCUCGUCCCCCGUGCUCCUGCCCUCUCGGGAGCAGCGUCCCUGUGUCCACGGGAGGGAUCGCACCGCGGGGCCCCUGCCCCACCGCUAGUGGGGUCCAUCUUCCUCUGGAGACCCCGGUGUGUGUAAGCAGAGCUGAGGACUGAUCUUUAAGCUGCCUCCUGGCCCUGCUCGUGAGUCUCAGGAAACUGUGACACUCACCUGGCCCGGGGGUCCUGGCCCAGGGGUCCCCGCUCCAGGAGCCACCCAGCAAAGGGAAAAGGAGAGGGCACUCCUGAGGGUACAUGGCCCACUCACAGGGGGUACAGCCUUGUGUGGCAGGAGGGACGGAGCCCGGCUGUCCCAUCGCAGUGACUCCAACCUCUAAUAAGCCUCAAGACACUCGGGGCUCGGGCGGCGAGAUCCUGGCAACAGAGUAGGGUAGACGUUGGGGCCUCAGGGCCCCCAGCUGGCUCCUGAGGCACAGGCGGCGCGGCCCUCACUCUGGCCACAGCAGCCAAAUGCUCCCGUCCUUAUUCACAGGCUGGGGGUGUGCGGCAGGGAGAGGAGGGUCCUGACCGAUCUCACCGGGACCCAGGUCCUGGCCCUCCCGCCCGUGGGUUGCCACACCCCACGGCCCGAGGUUGACAUGGCCACACAGCUUUGGUAAAGACUUUUAAGAGAAAGAAGUAUUUUAAAAAGUAGCAGUGCUCUGAGGCUCAGGGUGUAGGAUCGGGGGCACAGCCUGGUCCCGG
rnacentral:lncRNA from 10 species